UACGAAGGGGGCUAGCGUUGCUCGGAAUCACUGGGCGUAAAGGGUGCGUAGGCGGGUCUUUAAGUCAGGGGUGAAAUCCUGGAGCUCAACUCCAGAACUGCCUUUGAUACUGAAGAUCUUGAGUUCGGGAGAGGUGAGUGGAACUGCGAGUGUAGAGGUGAAAUUCGUAGAUAUUCGCAAGAACACCAGUGGCGAAGGCGGCUUGCUGGUCCGGUUCUGACGCUGAGGCGCGAAAGCGUGGGGAGCAAACAGG
rnacentral:rRNA from 1 species